rnacentral:rRNA from 1 species
UACGUAAGAGACUAGUGUUAUUCAUCAUUAAUAGGUUUAAAGGGUACUCAGACGGUAAAAUUCGCCUAACAAGGGACAAUUUUUCUAGAGUUUUAUAUAAGGAGGUCGUACUCAUGAGUGGAGAGAUGAAAUUUGUUGAUACCUUGGGGACUGGUAAAGGCGAAGGCAACCUUUUAUGUAAAAACUGACGUCGAAGGACGAAGGCAUAGGGCACGAACAGG